rnacentral:lncRNA from 1 species
AUUGGUCCAAAUGGGGCGGUGGGGCUUCGUUGGAACCUAUCAUCACAUUGGCAUCACAAUUAACUCAAUCCAUACAACUAUAAUUUCUAGAAGCUAUUUCUUAAAUCUAGCCCCACUAGUUAUUACUAACUAGCUUCCAAUUAUCAUUUGACUAGCUAUUUAUUUUCUCUACUCUAGCAACACUAGAAAUAAAUAAACAACCUUAAUAAUAAAACAACUCACAAUUUCAAUUGUUAGCCAUUAUCAACAACUAAAGAAAUUUAACCUUAACUUAUACUCACCUUGGUAACUUGAAAUUGAAAUUUUUUCCAAUAAUUUUCAAGCUAUUGUAGAAGAUCCAUCUUUCUCUCUCUAAAACCCUAGCUAGUGAGAGAAAGUAUUAGUUUAAGACUUUUUAGGGUUUUUUUUUUUUGGUGAGAGGGUGAAAGAGCACAAAGGUUCUAUGAAAGGGUGCACAAAAGCAUGAA